GCCCUGGGCUGCAUGCACCUCCCAGGUCCAAGCCGCUCAGGUUCAGGCACUCGGGUAGUCCUCAGAGGUGCAGACUCAGUUGGGCCUGCGUUUUGUGCUCUUCCCAGGUCCGAGCAGCUCAGGUGAUGAGGUGUUCGGCGAGCGCCAAUGCUGCGACUUAUCACCUCCCCGCCACUCAGUUAUCUGGGUGUAAAACCGGUGCACCUUCUCAGGCACAUGUUGACCGUCCAGACCCCCAAUAAGUUUUAGUUAGCAAAGAAGCCUGCUUACAGUUUUAUAGAUAAUGUCUCUCUGGGGCUGCAAUUGCCCCCUUCCAGCUCUGGCUGCCUGUCACCGGAGGGGGAAGGUCUGCAGCCGGCUAUCUCUGUUCAGUCCUUUGUUCCGUGCGCGGGCCUGGCGGAGUCUUAGGUUAGGGCUGGCUUUUCACGUGGUAGAUAUCCCACAGUCUGGUUUGCUAGCCCAAAUUAUUUCGCUCAGAUAGUGCUCAGGGUAUUCAGGCCAGAUCCUUACUCUCAGCGAUGCAGCCCGAGCCGCGCCUCCCUGCCCAGCCCCCGCUUGCUAAUGGCGGAUGCAGGCGUCUGCGCUGGUUCUCCGCUGGGGGAGUUACUGUAGGGCUCGCAAUCUGCGAGUUUUAAUUGUUUAUUUAUUUUUUCUCCCUGUUAUGUUGCCCUCUGUGCUUCCAAAGCUUGGCACAGAUUCAGCAGUGAGAAGGUUUCCUGGUGUUUGGAAACUUCUCUCUUUUUAAGACUCCCUUCCCGGGACGGAACUCCAUCCCUCCCUCUUUUGUCUCUUUUUUUGUCUUUAAUAUUUUUUCCUACCUCCUUUCGAAGAGUUGGAUUGCUUUUCUGGGUGCCUGAUGUCCUCUGCUGGCAUUCAGAAGUUGUUUUGUGGAAUUUACUCGACGUUUAAAUGCUCUUUUGAUGAAUUUGUGGGGAAGAAAGUGUUCUCCCCGUCCUACUCCUCUGCCAUCUUGGCUCCUCCCCUU
ensembl:lncRNA